GGAGAGGUGGCUGAGCGGUCGAAAGCACCGGUUUACUAAACCGGCGAAUCGCAAGAUUCCGGGGGUUCGAAUCCCCCCCUCUCCG
rnacentral:tRNA from 1 species